UAAAAAAACACUAAAUUCACAUUUCAUAAUUUUUAAUAAAAGUUUCUAUUCUUUAAGAAAAUUGAUUAUAAAUAUGGAACUUACACAAACUCUUUUUACCUUGACCAUCUUCCAUGGGAUCACAACAAUACCUCAGCUUACCUGAAAUUCAGGUGACAAAAAUAUGAUGAGGAUUCACCAGACUUUACUUAAGCCAAUUGUUAUUUGAAGAAAAAUGUCUCCCCAAAUGAUGUGCACCUCUCCAGUGUGGGUAAAUAUAUCACUAAAGGAAGAAUGACUUUUUCUUUAGAUACAAGCCUAUUGGUUGUUGUCACCCAAAAAUGAUAUGGAUCCCUUCACCAGUCAGUGUGGUGAACUUCAUGCCAAAUAUCUUUGGAAACACUCCACAGAGACUCCCAGAGGUGAUAUUUGGGCACAGUGAUCUUUGAGACAGGGAAAAGAGUUCCAGAAAUGAGUGCCAUUUGUUGAAAAGUAAUGUGAACCAUAUUUGAGAGAUAUAAGUUGAAGAAACGUUCACUGACAACUUUAAACAAGGCAAGAGAAACCAACGUAGGAUAAUGCAUGAUAGACUGCCUCCCUUCCCCAAAGAAUAUCUGCCUCCAUUUCAAGAACAUAGAUCUUCUCCAGUGCUCAUCUCCAAUGUGCACAGAUUGGAAUAUGCUAUGCUUAGCAACAGACAUGCCAGGAGGAGGAGAGAGAAGAGGAAUUGUUUUGAAACAUGCCAGAGUUUUCUAUUCUGAUGUGAGGAGAAACUUUUUCCAGAAUCUAACCUGCUGGACUUUAUCAGAGCUAACACUAACUAGGGAAAGGGAAAUAUUCACCUCUACCUGUCUCUAUCUUUUCUUGUCUGGAAAGCAAAUACUCAACUCAAGCACCCUUUAGCCCUCCCUAAUGUGGUGGAUGGAACCAAGAAGCAUUGGUGAAGUUCUCCAGCCAGAGGUACAGGUUCCCUAAAAGACUGAGACCUAACAAAAGGCCUAUAGAAGACUUUUCAGCUUCUCACACCUUACUAUUCCAACAUUAGAGACCCAUUUACUACAGUUGAUUUAUCCAGUGCACCAUGUUGACAUUCAACAAACAACUACAAGGCAUAAUACAAGGCAAAACGCAGUUUGAAAAAUUAAACAAGCAUCAGAAACAGAGUCAGAUAUGACAGGAGCCUUGCAAUUAUUUGUGUAGAAAUUAAAGUGAAACCA